rnacentral:rRNA from 1 species
UACGGGGGGGGCAAGCGUUGUUCGGAAUUACUGGGCGUAAAGGGCUCGUAGGCGGCCAACUAAGUCAGACGUGAAAUCCCUCGGCUCAACCGGGGAACUGCAUCUGAUACUGGAUGGCUUGAGAUUGGGAGAGGGAUGCGGAAUUCCAGGUGUAGCGGUGAAAUGCGUAGAUAUCUGGAGGAACACCGGUGGCGAAGGCGGCAUCCUGGACCAACACCGACGCUGAGGAGCGAAAGCCAGGGGAGCAAACGGG